rnacentral:tRNA from 1 species
GGUAUGUAGCUCAGCAGUAGAGCACUUGCCUAGCAUGCAUGAGGCCUUGGGUUUGACACCCAUUACCA